GGGUCAGAAGUCAAGGUGGCUUGCUAUUUGUGCAACAGUAAUUGGUGGUUCAAUCAUGCUUACUACAAUUGGAUCUAUGUGCUAUUGCGUGAUUUUGCAUAGAAUGGAGGAGUCAAGAUUGAGGAGUAUAAGGAGGGAGAGUCAAUCUGGUUCUUACUCUAUGUCUAUGGUAUCAGAGCCGGAGGUCCUAGAAGGUGAAUAUAAAAGGAUGUAUGCACUGUAAGGACAUCAGGAUGGAAAGAAAUGGAUCAACUAUGAAUAACAGACCUAUUAUUCUCAUCUAUAUUAUGAAGAUAGCUAUAUGAUGCUAAUGAUUUUAAUGGUAAUGAAAUUUUCUUGCAAGUUGUGCUGAGGUGUUGCAUCACUAGAACAAUAUGAAGAGACGAAAAGAGUACUAUGAUUCAGCAAUUGAAAGACACCUAUUCAUAUGCUCAUCGUUUUUGUUUUCUGCAAGAAAGCUCCCUUGACAAGAUGCUGGUUUUUUGGUGAAACAUCCACACAAUGGUGAGCUCUGAUUACUGUCUGGAUCUGAUUUACAAGUAGUUACAGAUUUGAUCAAGACUCAAAAGUGGGCAGAAGUUUUUGAAGACUGAUGCCAUUUCUUGGGUCCGGUUGGAUUGUAUUUUGUAUGCAUGAGAAAAUGUUGUAGUGUAAUUAUCUUUAAUAGUUAAUCUACAAAAGCUUAGCUAC
rnacentral:misc_RNA from 1 species